rnacentral:rRNA from 1 species
UAGUAACGGCGAGUGAAGCGGGAUGAGCUCAAAUUUAAAAUCUGGCUGGUUUACUAGUCCGAAUUGUAGUUUAAAGAAGCGUUUUCGGUGGCAGCCUGGGUAUAAAUCCUUUGGAACAGGGUAUCAUAGAGGGUGAGAAUCCCGUCUUUGACUCAGUGCAUGCUACUAUGUGAUACGUUUUCAAAGAGUCGAGUUGUUUGGGAAUGCAGCUCAAAAUGGGUGGUAAAUUUCAUCUAAGGCUAAAUAUUGGCGAGAGACCGAUAGCGAACAAGUACCGUGAGGGAAAGAUGAAAAGAACUUUGAAAAGAGAGUUAAACAGUGCGUGAAAUUGUUGAAAGGGAAACGCUUGACACCAGUCAUGCGAGCGGAAAAUCAGUCUUUUGCAGUGGGGAGUUGUGUGGGUUCGGACCGCAAGGCCGGCCUGUGCUGCAUCUCUGCUGUAAGUGAUGCACUUUUUCGUUUGCAGGCCAACAUCAGUUUCUUCUGCUGGACAAAACUCUUGAGAAGGUAGCAGCUUUGGCUGUGUUAUAGCUCUUGAGCGAUACAGUGGAGGGGACUGAGGUUUUCGCAGCGCGUGCUCUCGGGCAAGGCUGAUUGGGUGCUAUGGGAUCGUUCGGUGUACAAUGCAUGCAUUUUGCGCCGUGUCUUUUCUAUACUCGCUCAACUCGGCUCUUCCGCGCUUAGGAUGUUGGCUUAAUGGUUUUAAUCGACCCGUCUUGAAACACGGACCAAGGAGUCUAACAUAUAUGCAAGUGUUUGGGUGGCAAACCCAUGCGCGUAAUGAAAGUGAACGUAGGUGCGAUCCGCAAGGUGCAGCAUCGACCGAUCUUGAUAUUUUUGGAUAGAUUUGAGUAAGAGCAUAUAUGCUGGGGACCCGAAAGAUGGUGAACUAUGCCUGAAUAGGGUGAAGCCAGAGGAAACUCUGGUGGAGGCUCGUAGCGAUUCUGACGUGCAAAUCGAUCGUCAAAUUUGGGUAUAGGGGCGAAAGACUAAUCGAA